CUCAUUUCUCCUGGUUUCUAUUUUCUCCUGGUUUCUCCUAGUUUCUCCUGUUUCUACUGGUUUCUCCUGGUUUCUACUGUUUUCUACUGGUGUCUACUGGUUUCUACUGUUUCCACUGGUGUCUACUGUUUCUACUGGUUUCUACUGUUUCUACUGUUUCUACUGGUUUCCACUGGUGUCUAAUCAUUUCUCCUGGUGUCUACUGGUUUCUACUGGUUUCUACUAAUUUCUCCUGGUUUCUACUGUUUCUACUGGUUUCUCCUGUUUUCUACUGUUUCUCCUGGUUUCUACUGUUUCUCCUGGUUUCUACUCAUUUCUCCUGGUUUCUUUUGUUUCUCCUGGUUUCUAUUGUUUCUACUGGUUUCUACUCAUUUCUAUUUUCUCCUGGUUUCUAUUGUUUCUACUGGUUUCUACUCAUUUCUAUUUUCUCCUGGUUUCUCCUGUUUCUACUGGUUUCUAUUGUUUCUCCUGGUUUCUACUGUUUCUCCUGGUUUCUACUGUUUCUCCUGGUUUCUCCUGUUUUCUACUGUUUCUCCUGGUUUCUACUGUUUCUCCUGGUUUCUACUCAUUUCUCCUGGUUUCUACUGUUUCUCCUGGUUUCUACUCAUUUCUCCUGGUUUCUAUUGUUUCUCCUGGUUUCUAUUGUUUCUCCUGGUUUCUAUUGUUUCUCCUGGUUUCUACUGUUUUCUACUGGUGUCUACUGGUUUCUAUUGUUUCUCCUGGUUUCUAUUGUUUCUCCUGGUUUCUAUUGUUUCUACUGUUUCUAUUGUUUCUCCUGGUUUCUAUUGUUUCUCCUGGUUUCUAUUGUUUCUACUGUUUCUAUUGUUUCUCCUGGUUUCUAUUGUUUCUACUGUUUCUAUUGUUUCUCCUGCUUUCUAUUGUUUCUACUGGUUUCUACUGGUUUCUACUGUUUCUACUGUUUCUCCUCAUUUGUACUGUUUCUACUGAAUAUUCUCGUUUAAUGUUUUUUCCUGCUGGGUCUCUCCCUCCCUGAUUAAUCGCAGUCAGGUGUGUAUUUAUUCCGUUAACAGCUGUGUUACCGUGUUAAUGGUCUACCGGACUACCGUUCUACCGGAGCGCUGCUGGCCAACAGGCCGUCUCUCUACUCACGUUUGCGGGCUUCAGCCACCUUCUCGGCGGCUCUCUUCUCGGCCUGCAGCAGCUGCUGGAUGCCCUGAGACUGACUCGCCAUGUUGGAGCAGAGAGAACAGAGAGAGGAGGAAUCACCAGAAUGAAGGUCGACGAGGAUCAGGCUGCUGCUGCUUCUUCUUCCUCUGUUGAUCAGUCAGCUGAUGUCACGUCACGCUGCGGACCGAUCACGUGAUUUCGUCACGAGG